CGCGAAGAACCUUGCCAAGGCUUGACUAGCAUCUCUAAACACGUGAAAGCGUGUGACCCUUCGGGGAAUUUGCACAGGUGCUGCAUGGCCGUCGUCAGCUCGUGUCGUGAGAUGUUGGGUUAAGUCCCGCAACGAGCGCAACCCUUGUGACUAGUUGCCAGCACGUCAUGGUGGGAACUCUAGUCAGACCUGCCCAGAUCAACUGGGAGGAAGGUGGGGACGACGUCAGGUCAGUAUGGCCCUUACGCCUUGGGCUGCACACGUACUACAAUGCCCAGCACAAUGAGAACCGAUACCGCGAGGUGGAGGAAAUCUGUAAAACUGGGCUCAGUUCGGAUUGGAGGCUGCAACUCGCCUCCAUGAAGUUGGAAUCGCUAGUAAUGGGGCAUCAUCUACGGCCCCGUGAAUACGUUCCCGGGUCUUGUACACACCGCCCGUCACAUCAUGGAAGCCGGUCGCACCCGAAGUGCCCGUACCAACCCAUUCGCAAGUUUGGGGGGUAGGGUCCUAAGGUGUAGCUGGUAACUGGGAUGAGGUCGUAACAAGGUAACCGUA
rnacentral:rRNA from 1 species